rnacentral:rRNA from 1 species
UCCUCCCUCUGGCGGCGUGCUUAACACAUGCAAGUCGAACGGAAAGGCCCUGCUUUUGUGGGGUGCUCGAGUGGCGAACGGGUGAGUAACACGUGAGUAACCUGCCCUUGACUUUGGGAUAACUUCAGGAAACUGGGGCUAAUACCGGAUAGGAGCUCCUGCUGCAUGGUGGGGGUUGGAAAGUUUCGGCGGUUGGGGAUGGACUCGCGGCUUAUCAGCUUGUUGGUGGGGUAGUGGCUUACCAAGGCUUUGACGGGUAGCCGGCCUGAGAGGGUGACCGGCCACAUUGGGACUGAGAUACGGCCCAGACUCCUACGGGAGGCAGCAGUGGGGAAUAUUGCACAAUGGGCGGAAGCCUGAUGUAGCAACGCCGCGUGCGGGAUGACGGCCUUCGGGUUGUAAACCGCUUUCGCCUGUGACGAAGCGUGAGUGACGGUAAUGGGUAAAGAAGCACCGGCUAACUACGUG